UGUAUUUGUAGCUCAGCAGGAUAGAGCGACCGCCUCCUAAGCGGUAGGUCGGCGGUUCAAAUCCGCCCAAGUACAU
rnacentral:tRNA from 1 species